rnacentral:lncRNA from 1 species
CUAAGAAAAACACAUAUAAUAACACACAUGUAAAAUUUCAAACCGUUGUUAAAAUCAAAGUUCAUUUUCAUUCAUAUCUGACCAUCGUCUCAAAAUGUUUAAGUCCAGUUAUUAUUACUAGUGACUAAGUCUUUUAUAUACUCAAUCACAUUUUCAUUCCUAUCCGACAUGAGAUUAUUGGGGUGUGACAUUGACGUCGUCGAAUGAGUUGCCGGUGAAGCUGGGCUACCCACUUUCGGCCGCCAUGCGUCGCCACCACGAGCUGGCAACCAUCGGUGGUGGAAUUAAGGGAUCGAAACACCGGCGGCUGAGGGGGAUGCGUGUUUAGUUGGAACUGGGUGGCAUAACUCUUUAUGGGCGUGGAGAGCUCGAGGAUCAAGACAUAUAUAGAAAAUUAUUUCUUAAAGUAAAGAUUCCAUGGGUGCACAUAUAAAUAUUCUGAGUAGCAAAAUAUGUGUGUUUUUUUUUUUAGACAGUAGAUUUUUUAACUUCAACAAAAAAAGUAUUAUUUUUUAAAAAUAAUAUUUUUUAAAUGAUAGUUUUUUAUUGCAACAAAAAUAGUGUAUUUUUUUUUUCUAAAACAAUAGAUUUUUUUUUAAUAGCAAUAAAUUUUCUUUUAGAUAGUAAUUUUUUUUUACUGCAACGAAAAAUGGUAUUGAUUUUUUAAAUAAUAUAAUUUUUUUAACUGUACAAAUUUUUAUAGUGGGCGUUUGGUUCGAAGUCAGAAUUGAAAUCGAAAUCGGAAUCAAAAUAAGCUGGAAUCGGAUUCGGAAUGACUCAUUAUCUAAUUCUGUUUGGUUCAUCACCUGAAUCAGAGUGGGAAUAAAUCAUUCUCAUUGUCGUUGUUUAGUUCAGGUGGAUAUAAAAUACAUAAUCAAAUUAAUAUACUAACAUUAUCUUUAUAAUAUAUUAAUUUAAAUUCAAAUUAAAAAUUAAAUUUAAAAGUUUAUAUUAAAAUUUUGAAAUAAUGUCAAAAUUUUAAAUCUAUAUUUUUUUAAAAAAAUUAAACUUUGAAGUUGA